UCCUUGUUAGCUCAGUUGGUAGAGCGUUCGGCUUUUAAAACCGAAAUGUCAGGGGUUCGAGCCCCCUAUGAGGAG
rnacentral:tRNA from 13 species